UUAUUACUAGUUAAUCACGUCUCUUUAAGCGAUGGAAGCAGUGGGUGAUUCUAGAUCAAGUUCAAAAGAGAAGAGAUCAUUUGAGGUACAGAAAUGAUGAAAGCCAAGAUUGAGAUUGAUACUGAUAGGUUCCUAGUGAGUAUUUGACAUUGAGGAACAAGUUUUUGGAAACAAAUAGAGAAUAUAGUCUUUGACCGAGAAGUUUCAUGUUUUGUAAUCAAAUGUUGAUGUACAUUGUUUGAAUGUUAGUUCGGUACGAUAUUUUCUGAGUUGAAAUGUUGGUAGUGUGGAUUUAAUACUUUGUAGUUUUUAUACUA